GGGUAGCUGUUCCCUUCUCCAGGGGAUCUUCCCAACCCUGGUCUCUCACAUUGCAGGUGGAUUCUUUACCAGCAGAGCCACCAAGGAAGCCCAGUUAUCUCUGAAACUCAACCUGUUUUGGACUUACAACCCAAUCUGUGGAAUGUAGAUUGAAGACAUGAGAGACUGUCCAGUGGGAAGAAGAGAAUGAAGAUUGUCCCAGGGUUUUCUUUCAAAGAAAAUACAGCAAGAUUUGAAGAAACCAAAUAUGGCCAUUGAGUCUACAGUCUGCCCAUAAAUGGUAGUGAUAUAGCUAUUUCUACAACACUGUCUCUGAGUGUGCAACAGAUAAAGAAUAAGAGAGCCUUUGUGUUAAUCACUUAGUCGUGUCUGACUCUGCAACUCAUGGACUGUAGCCCACCAGGCUCCUCUGUCCAUGGGAUUCCCCAGGCAAAAAUACUGGAGUGGGUAGCUAUUCCCUUCUCCAGAGGACCUUCCCAACCCAGGGAUCAAACCUGGGUCUCCCUCAUUGCAGGCAGAUUCUUUACUGUCUGAACCACUAGCCUUUAAAUGGUAGCAAAACUGCUUCAGUGGCAAGGUUUACC
ensembl:lncRNA